rnacentral:lncRNA from 1 species
GUCAAGGUCACUGGGACUAUGGUGUUCAGAGAAGCACUAACCAGAGAGAUAUAUUUGAAACCGAACCCAGUUGGAAGUGUAGGAUUUGGAUAGGUAAAGAAGAGGAGAGAGGACAUGAGUAGUGGGAGGAAAGGCAUUAGAAAAGAAUGUGGAGGUGGAGGUGUGUUGACAUGCCAGUGAAGAUGCCACUGUGACUGGCAUGGAAGGUUUUUGUAGGGGAGUAGUGUGUGUCACUUAAGCCAAAAGGAAGACCUGGAGUUCAUAUGCUGAAUUUAAACCAUUAUUUUUGACUCUCUUAUUACAGUUUGGUGUUUAUCCCAUCACAGCUGCUUUUCUGUUAUUGUUCUAUUCAUUUUGACUUUAACUAGAAAUUAUAUGGGAUAAGGAGGUUUUAGGCAAUAAAUAGCUAAUAUUUUGGUGUAUUGAUUUUUUUUUUAAAAUGUACUGCAUUUUAUUACAUAGAAAUAUUCUUAGUAUAAUUACAUAUGUGUGUGUGUGUAUAUACACACACAAAUAUAUAUAUAUAUAUACACACACACACACACACACAUAUAUAUAUUUCUUUUUUUUAGACAGAGUCUCGCUCUUGUACCCCAGGCUGGAGUGCAAUGGCAUGAUCUUGGAUCACUGCAACCACCACUUCCAGGCUUCAAGCUAUUCUCCUGCCUCAGCCAGUGUAUUGAUUCUUGAAGCAGCCGUUUUAAGUUUGUGGACCAAUGGAGUUAGAAGAAAAGCAAGACCACAAAACAGAGAUGCCACUGGAACUGGAGAGUAUCCAGUGAAAAGGAGUGGAAAUAGGAGGUUGAAGCUUGGGAGCCUAGCCAAGUAGGUCCAUGAGAGUGGUAAGACUUCAGAAGCCUCUGACAAUUCUAAGACCUCUUUUGCUUAAAAGUAAAAACAAUGCCUGGACACAAAUGCUGUUUCAAUUUAAACAUGUGAAUGAGAGGCAUUGUGUCUGUAUCAUAUUAAUUUGGGAAGUGUGAUGUAAAGAAGAACUGAAAGAGUCCUAUUUUCUUAUGUCCCUGAGUUUCUUAAUCUAUUUUUAGCUUUUGUCCUUUCGGCUCAGCCAGGAGCUGCCCUGAGAUUCAGCCUAUGGAAAUGUGCUGGGCUCUGAACUGAGCUGUAAAGAAUGAAGGUGAAGCUUUGAGCUGCUAGAUUCAUGGCUGGGGUUUUUACACACACAUAAAAUAUGAAUCUCAGUUGUAUACAAAGCUGAACUCAUCGUGCCAAAAGGAUCCCAGUCAAGCAGGCCUGUAAAAUGAAAUCCUCUUGGACUAAUUUAAGGAGACCUGAGUGAUAUAAAUUGUGGCCUGCUCAAAUGCAGGAAAUAAAAAAAAAAAUUCCAAGUUGAAUACGAACUUCUCUCUUGGUGCCGUUGGCAGCCUUGGUGUGUGAGAAAUGGGAACAAAAAGGACUGAGAAGUUAGCUCCCGAUUCGUUUUCCUAAUAACUCAGCAGCUCCCUGUUUAUACUGGUCUUGUGGGC